rnacentral:misc_RNA from 1 species
GAAAUGCGAUAAGUAAUGUGAAUUGCAGAAUUCCGUGAAUCAUCGAAUCUUUGAACGCACAUUGCGCCCUCUGGUAUUCCGGGGGCAUACCUGUCCGAGCGUCAUUGCGAACCCCUCAAGCACGGCUUGUGUGAUGGGCCCUCCCGCGUCUUGGUCGUCAAGACGGGCCCGAAAUGCAGUGGCGGCUUCGCGGUUAUCCGAUCAGCCAGAGCGUAUGGGGACUCUCUCUCUUGUCACACGCCCGCGGCGCGGACCGACGCCUGUCGACCUUUAUUCAUCUUCUCUCGGUUGACCUCGGAUCAGGUAGGGAUACCCGCUGAACUUAAGC